UCUCGAUAGCGUAAAAGUUAACUCAAAUUUGUAUGGAGUUGGAACGCUUGCCUUCGUUUGCCGCUAGGGGCGCUGUUCCAAUUCCAUGCAAAUUGAGUUAACUUUUACGCUAUCGA
rnacentral:pre_miRNA from 9 species